GCUUCCCUCCCUGUUGUUUGUUUGGCCUGAGGCGACCCAACACUGGAGCCUACCCAGGCUCUUUCGUGGGGCUAAUGGUAGACUUCAGGAGGCCUCAUGCCAAGGAGUACUUCCCAGAACUGCUGCCAGUGUCCUUGUCCUCACGGUGAGACACAGCCACCCCCCACCUCUGCAGGAGACCCUCCAACACUCGCAGCUUCUCCUUUGUCUUUGGAUGUGGGGUAUCUUUUUUGGUGAGUUCCAGUGUCUUCCUGUCGAUGAUUGUUCAGCAGUUAAUUGUAAUUCUUGUGCUCUCACAAGAGAGAUUGAGAGCACGUCCCUCUACUCUGCCAUCUUGAACCAAAAACCUCAACAUUUCUAAAAUUAAGAAAACAGCUGAUCACUUUCGCUUGUGGAAACCACCGGGCUCUGGUUCCUGCCCCUUCAUUUUGUCCUGGUUGUCUGUGGAGACUCAGAGGAUGUUGAUACGGCACCUCAACUAUGGAGGCGAAGAGAACGUUUCAGAAGGUCCUCUUCCUCUUAUGCCAGCUCCUCCUCCCAAGUCUCUUCAAAAGUCAAGGCAUCUGGGACUUCCCUGGCGGUCCAGUGGUUACGACUUUGCCUUCCAAUGCAGGGGGUGCGGGUUUGAUCCCUGGUUGGGGAGCUAAGAUCCGACAUGCCUUGCGGCCAAAACACCAAAACAUAAAAACAGAAGCAAUAUUGCAACAAAUUCAAUAAAGACUAAAAAAAAAAAAGUCAAGGCAUCUGAGUCCUAAGACAUUGCAGUCUGAUUGCAGUGAAACAAGGGGCUAGGCCAGAGGAGGUGCACUUUCUUCCUUUAAAAAAUUUAUUCUUUAUUUUGAGUGGUAAUAGGAACACACACACCAAUAGAUAAAGUUUUAAGGAAUAUUCAGUGAAAAGUAAUUCUCUCUUGCACCCCUGCCCCCCAGCAGCCACCAGUUCCCUUACCAAAGAUAAUCUUUAUUGCCAGUUCCUAGAGUAUUCUGCUGGAGAUAUCUUAUGUAGUUACAAACAUUCAUAUAUGUAUAUGCGUCUUAAAUACACAAAUAAUAAUGUACAAUACACAUUGUUCUACACCUUGCUUUUUUCACUUAACAAUACAUCAAAGGUUUUGUUUUGUUUGAUUGUUUUCCGGAAGUGCUAUCAGGGAGAAAAGUCAUUCUUCAUUUCAAUGAUCUGAUUCUGGUUCUGGUUCAUUGUACUGAUAACAAAAGAUGCCAAGUUAAACUCUACCUCAGCCUCAGGUCAACUUGGUCUGGAGAAAUAGGAAUCAUAUUUAAAACCCUAAAUCUUUAAACAACAGGAAGUCUGGGGUGGGUAGAAGAGAGAGGGAAGGACGGAUUCUGUUUAAAAGAAUGCUCUGUGGGACUGACAGUUAAGCAGAGGGACACUUUGAACGCAGUCUUGCAAAACGAAAAUCCAUUGGUUCCUUUCCCUGCUUUCGUAAGUAGGACUCAAACUUACUGGCCAUAAUUGUUUCAUCUUUGCUAGUUAAGGAUCUAUAGGAGCAAGAUAUUGUCAGUAUUCUGGAUGCAAUACAGUUGACCCUUGAACCAUGCGGGGUUAGGGACACCAACACCCCGUGCAGUCAAAACUCCACGUGCCGAUUUUGACUCCCCGAAAAUAACUAGUAAUAGCCUAGUGUUCACAGGAGGCCUUACUGAUAAUAUAAACAGUUGAUUCAUGCAUAUUUUGUGUGUUAUAUGUAUUAUAUACUGUAUUCUUACAAUACAGUAAGUUACAGAAAAGAAAAUGUUAUUAAGGAA